CCUGUCCACCGGCCGCCACCCCCUCAGACGUCUGCGCUCCGGAUCAGCAAGGAAGGGUUCCUGCCAGAAGGCUGAAGGGAUUACAAAUAUAACUUCCUGGGCCACGUUGAGGACUGGGAAGGACUCUCCAUAUCAACCAGAAAGACCCCGGUUGACCAAAAAGAAAAAAAUCCACAGCUGCCACCUGUCACCUCAAACGGGUGACU
rnacentral:lncRNA from 1 species